CUCACUUUCCGCGUCUUCACCAUUUCCGCCCACUCACAUCCGCGAUCACAUCGCCAAACUGAAAUAACCAAGAGAGGAAAUAUUUUCGAAACCCAAACCCUAGGUGCUCGUGGGGAGCGCCAUGAAGAUCCCGUUUGUGACCAAGUGGUCGCACAGAUCCAGCGAGCCCGCGGGGCCGUCGAAUUCGGCUGCAGCGCAGCAGCAGCAGCAGCAGCAGGCGCCGUCGUCUCCAUCGUCGCCGUCUCCUCCUCCUCCCGUGGCGUCGACAGAGGCGGCAGGGGAUGAGUUCAUUUUGCAGGAGGAAGAGUACCAGAUGCAGCUGGCGUUGGCGCUAUCAGCGUCGGCGUCGGGCGCCGAGGGCGCUGGGGAUCCCGACGGGGAGCAGAUCAGAAAGGCGAAGCUGAUGAGCCUCGGGAAGGGCCACCCGGUCAUCAACAGCGAUCGUGGCGGGGGAGACACCCCGGAGUCGCUCUCCCGCCGUUACAGGGACUAUAACUUUCUUGAUUACAAUGAGAAAGUAAUUGAUGGAUUCUACGACGUAUUUGGCCUCUCUGCGGGAUCAUCUGGGCAGGGCAAAAUACCUUCACUGGCAGAGCUUCAGAUGAGCAUUGGGGAUCUUGGAUAUGAAGUAAUUGUGGUCGACUAUAAAUUUGAUAAUGCUCUGCAGGAGAUGAAGGAAGUAGCAGAAUGCUGCCUGUUGGGCUGUCCUGACACUACAAUAUUGGUGCGACGAAUAGCUGAAGUUGUUGCAGAUCACAUGGGUGGUCCAGUGAUCGAUGCAAAUGAAAUGAUCACUAGGUGGUUGAGCAAAAGCAUUGAGCAGAGGACAUCACACCAGACAAGCCUUCUGCAUAUUGGCAGUAUAGAGAUAGGCUUGUCUCGCCAUCGUGCCUUACUUUUCAAGAUUCUUGCUGAUAUUGUUGGUAUCCCUUGUAAGCUGGUUAAAGGGAGUCAUUACACUGGUGUUGAAGAUGACGCUAUUAACAUAAUAAAGAUGGAUGACAAAAGGGAGUUUUUGGUGGAUGUUAUGGCUGCUCCAGGGACUCUCAUUCCAGCAGAUGUCUUUAAUUCAAAGGGUACUCCAUUCAACUUCAGUCAAACAUUGGGUCAGAAUCAGGUGGUGGAGUCAGCAAGUAACAUCGAAGAUGACCCAGUUGCAUUACAGUCAGAGCAUAAACAUAACCAAGGGCAUAUGUUUGCCAAUAAUAAUCGGAUCUCAGUCAAUCUAUCAAGCUAUGAGAAUACAAUGACCGCUGGAAGUAGUGCUAGUGAACCUGGGACAUUGGACCCUAGGAUGCAAUUAGGUAAAACAUCAACUUUGCCUAGUGCUCCUUCCAAGCAGAAGAAGAAUCUGCAAUUGAUUACAGACUCUCAUGAAACUGAAGAGUCCCGAAAACUAUUUGUGGAGUUCGAUCCUUUCAAUGCUAUUGAAUCUGGGAAAAGCUCAUUGGCAUUCAAGGGAUUAAAUAAUAGAAACAAUGAAUUCCAAAGGCGUAGAGAGAAUGUAGUCCCACCAUCUGUAAGAUCUCAACAGCCAUUGGUGAUGAAAAACUGGUCUGCUUGCAAUGACAUUUCCAACAACAAGCAAUACAAUGUUGCUGAUGGGUCAGUUCCUCGGAGAAAUGCCACUGACAAUGCAUCGUCAUCUCAGUUGGCGUUGUCAACUGCAAAGCAUUACAAUUCCAAUGUUAGAGAGCUAAACGAUAGAGUGUAUGCAGCACCUGCUCGUAAUUAUGACAACAAGAUAGUUGGUACCUCGGCUAUGGCCAAAGCAUUGACUGGAGAGUGCCCUGACAGAUCACAGGUGCCACCUGGUCUUUAUUAUGACAAGAUGCUUGGUACCUCUUCUAUGAAUGCAGCUUCUACAUCCGGAAUCGGGAAAGUUGCCGAAAAGGACCCUCAUAAUGAUCCGGGAAAAGGUCCCAUCUAUUCUAGAUUUGAUGGUGAACUUUCUAAAAAUGCUCAAGGAUUUACUUCCGAAAGGGAUGAGCACAAGGAAAAUUGUGGCAGUCAUGACCACAAAAUGUUACAUCCUGAUCCAAGAAAGUCCCUUCUUGACAGAUUCAUGGACAGGCCAAGGCAGAGCAUAGAAUGUGUUUUUCCAUCCCAAGUUGGAUCAAAUAAGGCUGACAUGGUGUUGGAUGAAGUGUCUGAAUGUGAAAUCCUUUGGGAAGAUCUUGUAAUCGAUGAAAGAAUUGGCAUAGGUUCAUAUGGAGAAGUCUACCAUGCUGAUUGGAAUGGAACUGAAGUAGCUGUAAAGAAGUUCUUGGAUCAAGAGUUCUAUGGUGAUGCUUUAGAGGAAUUUCGUUGUGAAGUGAGGAUUAUGCGUCGGCUCCGUCAUCCAAAUAUUGUUCUCUUUAUGGGUGCAGUAACACGGCCUCCACACUUAUCUAUUGUAUCAGAAUAUCUUCCAAGGGGAAGCUUAUAUAAGAUCAUUCAUCGCCCUAAUUGCCAAAUCGACGAGAAGCGUAGGAUUAAAAUGGCCCUUGAUGUGGCCAGAGGCAUGAAUUGUCUUCAUACCAGUGUACCAACAAUUGUUCACCGGGAUCUAAAAUCACCAAACUUGCUGGUUGACGAUAAUUGGACUGUGAAGGUCUGUGAUUUCGGACUUUCACGUCUGAAGCACAGUACAUUUUUGUCAUCAAAAUCCACUGCCGGGACUCCUGAGUGGAUGGCACCAGAGGUUUUGCGGAAUGAGCAAUCCAAUGAGAAUUUUCCAGGUGUGAUAUUUACAGCUUUGGUGUUAUCCUGUGGGAGCUAGCAACACUAAGAAAGCCAUGGCAUGGGAUGAACCAAAUGCAAGUUGUGGGCGCAGUUGGCUUCCAGGACCGACGGCUUGACAUUCCAAAAGAAGUAGAUCCUAUAGUUGCAUCAAUUAUACGUGAUUGCUGGCAGAAGGAUCCAAACUUGCGUCCUUCUUUCAUCCAAUUAACUAGCUACCUGAAGACAUUGCAAAGGCUUGUAAUCCCUUCACAUCAGGAGACAGCGAGCAACCAUGUACCCUAUGAAAUAUCUUUAUAUCGGUGAACCGCACAUCUCUACCCCGGGGUUGUCACCCACCAAGUGUGAAUAAGCAGUAAUUAUGAUUUUGUCACCAUAUUCGGGUCCAGUAGUCUGCAAAUGCAUGGCUUGAUUGAGAGCCCCAGUCCCAGUCUAGAUAGCAUUCACCCCGCUGUUGCAAGCAAAAGCUCUGCUGCGGGGUAUGUACAGUACAUAUAGGCGGAUCAGAUGAAACGGCAAGAGGAGAAAAUUAUACCGUUCCACAUUUAGGUGGAACUGUGGAUUGUGGAGUGACAGGGAGAGGGAAAUGUGUAACUGUGGGACGAGUUAGUUGCAUCACAAAUAAGCUGGCAAUCUGGAGCAGUGUGCAUUGCGUGGUUGAUUACUUUCUGCCAUACUGAAAUAAAGGUCACUUCAGUUUGUGUUUUGGUUGGAAAGAUACCAAGUAGUAGUAGUUGAAAAUAAAAAUACUCAAUUUGAUU